AAUGGGAUAGUAGGGAAGUUAGACAUCAUUUUCAACAAUCAACAAUUAAAGAGAAACUCUAAAGUGUUCGAGGAUGUGUCGGCUUAGCUAAAAAUGGAUAUUUAACUUUAAUGUACGAAUUAGCGAAGGGCCUUUAAGGGGAUAACAAAGUUUGUGCAUUACAUUACAGUCCUUAUUAUGUGUGAUUGUUAGACCUACUUUCAGAUUCAAGAUUUUUUUAAAAUUACAGUUUUAUGGUGAAACUACAAGUACUCAAGUUCCAUCGUACCAAACAACUACUGUUUCUAUGUCUGAUCAACAAACAUUGGAACAGAUGAUUUGAAUGCUGGCGUACAUUUGAUGUUCCAGCAGCAAGACUGAGUUACUGAAUACAAACUAACAGAAUACAUGAACAUAGCCAGUAAUCUCUGAUGAUGUCCAUUGUGCUGUCUAAACUGACACCAGUUUUACAGAUUACUAUUGACUGAAAGAGACCUAAAGAGU